rnacentral:rRNA from 1 species
AGAGUUUGAUCCUGGCUCAGGAUGAACGCUGGCGGCGUGCUUAACACAUGCAAGUCGAACGGGAAACUUUUCAUUGAAGCUUCGGCAGAUUUGGUCUGUUUCUAGUGGCGGACGGGUGAGUAACGCGUGGGUAACCUGCCUUAUACAGGGGGAUAACAACCAGAAAUGGUUGCUAAUACCGCAUAAGCGCACAGGGCCGCAUGGUCCGGUGUGAAAAACUCCGGUGGUAUAAGAUGGACCCGCGUUGGAUUAGCUAGUUGGCAGGGUAACAGCCUACCAAGGCGACGAUCCAUAGCCGGCCUGAGAGGGUGAACGGCCACAUUGGGACUGAGACACGGCCCAGACUCCUACGGGAGGCAGCAGUGGGGAAUAUUGCACAAUGGGGGAAACCCUGAUGCAGCGACGCCGCGUGAAGGAAGAAGUAUCUCGGUAUGUAAACUUCUAUCAGCAGGGAAGAUAGUGACGGUACCUGACUAAGAAGCCCCGGCUAACUACGUGCCAGCAGCCGCGGU